UAUGUUACUCCAACCGCUGAAACGAACAUGAGGAUAAGUAUCCAUCGACGUAGUCUUGACGAAGGAAAAUAGGAAAGCGAAUAUGAUGAGGAUCUGAUCUGAGGUUAUGGAAUAUACCAUAGAAAUUCAUUAUUCAUCGUUUAAUGGAGAUAUCCGAGAGCUUCUGGUCGCACAUGAUGACUGCGAGUACCGAUCCAUGGUUCAAGUGCCGCAAGCGACAAGUUGUAUAACAGCCAAACGCAGAAUAUGGAAAAAAGGGUCGUCACAACUCCGUACCUAUGGUUUCACCACAAAUUAGUCAAAACUAUCUGACUAAUUGUAAGGCCAUCGGAUUAACGAAAUAAUGACCAACGAUUCAAUUCACGUAUAGCACAAUAGUUAUAAUAAUAGAAAAUUAUUGAAUUGAUCAAUUUUUGAAUGAGUUUCAGAUCACAAAGCCACGUUUACACCAGAGAGAUUAGCUGUGAUAACAAACAGAACUUACCCAAAGAUCCAUAAUAUUAUGAUUCCCAGAAACAUGGGUACCAGAAAUCUGUGGCUAGCCACAAUUCGAAGACUGAGCCGAGGUGGGAUGUGAGUUUCUUCGCUUGAGGAAAACCCAUUGAACGUUCUCUUAGGUAAAUGUUUUACCACUGUUGGUGGUUGUAAUACCCGUCGCAUAAAACGGCCAACGAUAUCUGGUCUAUCGUACGCCGUUUGCAAUUGAAGCUGAUACUAGAAUGUCAAAAUUAAAUGUCACUAAUUUUUUUUUUUUAUGUACGACGUGAACAAUGAACUAGAUACAAUAUAAAAAUGGCACUCAUACCUUUGUGUUGAUGUGGUUACAUAAUUGAAAGAGUAAUCUGACGAGGAAUGCGUUCUCAUGAGUCCGUACAGGUUGUAACUCGGGAUCUCCCAUGAACUCAAUGUAUCGACAACUUUGUCGCCUUUCUUGAAUUUGUAGAUAAACUCCUGGCCUAGACGUGUCUAAGCUCGUAUCCAUCUGAACAAGAAUAUUACAUGAUUCAUGGGGAGUAAUCGACAUACAGUAUACUGAAAUGACAGCCAAUUCUAAUACAUUAAGAUACGACGUAUGAAGUUUUCAUGUAAAAUGAUUGACGUGCAAUAAUGAAUUUGUAAAUUAAAUAACAAAUCUUCAACAUUCUUACGUGUGAUUGAUUACAGACCGAAGUUGACAAUAUACUGUCGUGAUACUCUUGAUCGGCAACUAUUGCCACCUGCGGAAUAUCGUCGAAUUUUAUCUGAAAAAGUAUUACAGUUAAGAUCAAUCUGGGUGCUGAGAAAUUAUCUUUUCACC
rnacentral:misc_RNA from 1 species